UGGAGAAGUUUGAUCCUGGCUCAGGAUGAACGCUGGCGGCGUGCCUAAUACAUGCAAGUCGAACCGAACUUCCGUUAAUUGAUUAUGACGUACUUGUACUGAUUGAGAUUUUAACACGAAGUGAGUGGCGAACGGGUGAGUAACACGUGGGUAACCUGCCCAGAAGUAGGGGAUAACACCUGGAAACAGAUGCUAAUACCGUAUAACAGAGAAAACCGCAUGGUUUUCUUUUAAAAGAUGGCUCUGCUAUCACUUCUGGAUGGACCCGCGGCGUAUUAGCUAGUUGGUGAGGUAAAGGCUCACCAAGGCAGUGAUACGUAGCCGACCUGAGAGGGUAAUCGGCCACAUUGGGACUGAGACACGGCCCAGACUCCUACGGGAGGCAGCAGUAGGGAAUCUUCCACAAUGGACGCAAGUCUGAUGGAGCAACGCCGCGUGAGUGAAGAAGGGUUUCGGCUCGUAAAGCUCUGUUGUUAAAGAAGAACGUGGGUAAGAGUAACUGUUUACCCAGUGACGGUAUUUAACCAGAAAGCCACGGCUAACUACGUGCCAGCAGCCGCGGUUAAUAA
rnacentral:rRNA from 1 species